rnacentral:rRNA from 1 species
UACGUAGGGUGCAAGCGUUGUCCGGAAUUAUUGGGCGUAAAGAGCUCGUAGGCGGUUUGUCGCGUCUGCUGUGAAAACUCGGGGCUUAACUCCGGGCCUGCAGUGGGUACGGGCAGACUAGAGUGCGGUAGGGGAGACUGGAAUUCCUGGUGCAGCGGUGAAAUGCGCAGAUAUCAGGAGGAACACCGGUGGCGAAGGCGGAUCUCUGGGCCUUACCUGACGCUCAGGUGCGAAAGCUAGGGGAGCGAACAGG